UACGAGAGCCUCGAGCGUUAUCCGGAAUUAUUGGGCGUAAAGGGUGCGUAGGUUGUUCUGUUAGUCUUUUGUCAAAGCCAGGGGCUUAACCUCUGAUACGCGAAAGAAACGGCAGAACUUGAAAGUGUGAGGGGUGUACGGAACUCAUGGUGUAGGGGUGAAAUCCGUUGAUAUCAUGGGGAACACCAAAAGCGAAAGCAGUACACUGGCGCAUAUUUGACACUGAAGCACGAAAGCGUGGGUAGCGAAUGGG
rnacentral:rRNA from 1 species